GCCGGGUGUGGUGGUGCACUCCUGUAAUCCCAGCUACUUGGGAGGCUGAGGUGGGAGAAUUGCUUGAGCCCGGGAGGCGGAGGUUGCAGUGAGCCAAAAUUGUGCCACUGCACUCCAGCCUGGGCAACAGAGUGAGACCCUGUCUCAA
ensembl:misc_RNA Metazoa_SRP Metazoan signal recognition particle RNA